UUUAAGUACAACCAUAAGUUUUUGUACCUAACUUUGAUUGUCCGUCUUAUUUGAAAUUUUUUUAUAAUUAGUACUUUGCUCGUGACUUAUGUUUUUAAUUUUUUUUCAAAUUUUUUUUAAAUAAGACGGACGUUCAAAGUUAGGCGCUGAAAACCAUGAUUACACUUAAA
rfam:Oryza sativa Japonica Group DNA, chromosome 8, cultivar: Nipponbare, complete sequence.